UACAGAGGUCUCGAGCGUUAGGCGGAAUCACUGGGCUUAAAGCGUGUGUAGGCGGAUCGGUAAGUACCUUGUGAAAUCCCACAGCUUAACUGUGGAACUGCUUGGUAUACUGCCAGUCUUGAGCCAGCUAGGGCUACCGGAACAAAUGGUGGAGCGGUGAAAUGCGUAGAUAUCAUUUGGAACGCCAAUGGUGAAAACAGGUAGCUGGGCUGUGCUGACGCUGAGACACGAAAGCCAGGGGAGCAAACGGG
rnacentral:rRNA from 1 species